rnacentral:rRNA from 1 species
UGGGGAAUUUUGGACAAUGGGCGAAAGCCUGAUCCAGCAAUGCCGCGUGCAGGAUGAAGGCCUUCGGGUUGUAAACUGCUUUUGUACGGAACGAAAAAGCUCCUUCUAAUACAGGGGGCCCAUGACGGUACCGUAAGAAUAAGCACCGGCUAACUACGUGCCAGCAGCCGCGGUAAUACGUAGGGUGCGAGCGUUAAUCGGAAUUACUGGGCGUAAAGCGUGCGCAGGCGGUUAUGUAAGACAGAUGUGAAAUCCCCGGGCUCAACCUGGGAACUGCAUUUGUGACUGCAUGGCUAGAGUACGGUAGAGGGGGAUGGAAUUCCGCGUGUAGCAGUGAAAUGCGUUAGAUAUGCGGAGGAACACCGAUGGCGAAGGCAAUCCCCUGGACCUGUACUGACGCUCAUGCACGAAAGCGUGGGGAGCAAACA